rnacentral:rRNA from 1 species
AUUGAACGCUGGCGGCAUGCCUUACACAUGCAAGUCGAACGGUAACGGGCCUUCGGGUGCCGACGAGUGGCGAACGGGUGAGUAAUGCAUCGGAACGUACCUUUCAGUGGGGGAUAACGUAGCGAAAGUUACGCUAAUACCGCAUAUUCUGUGAGCAGGAAAGCAGGGGAUCGCAAGACCUUGCGCUGAUUGAGCGGCCGAUGUCAGAUUAGCUAGUUGGUGAGGUAAAGGCUCACCAAGGCGACGAUCUGUAGCGGGUCUGAGAGGAUGAUCCGCCACACUGGAACUGAGACACGGUCCAGACUCCUACGGGAGGCAGCAGUGGGGAAUUUUGGACGAAUGGGGGCAACCCUGAUCCAGCCAUGCCGCGUGAGUGAAGAAGGCCUCGGUUGUAAG